GCUCCUAGCAUUAACUACGUCGUUAAACCCUUCUGAAUUUAUUUCGUCUGUGAAAUGGGGAAAAGAUAGCCACCUUGCAUAACUGGUGAAGAAUUCGUAAACUGACAGCAGAAUCUAGUAAGAGGACUGGCCCGUGGUCGGCUCUUAAUGGUGUCACAGAAUAAAGAAAAAGACUGGGAGAGAGAUGGGAGCUGAUAGACCAGAGGAGACCAAAGACUGAAACUGAAGACUAAACCAUGGAAAUUGGGAACAAGCACUUACUCGCUUAGAGGGUGAAAAAAGUGAAUUUGCCUACAGGGCCAAUUUGGAAGCACCUCUCCCUGGAAGCCAGGCAAUGAAGAGCCAUUGGAGGAUUUUAAAUAAGGAACCGAAAAAUGGAGUCUGAAAAUAGAGGCGCAGAGACCGGUCAACCACAAUGAAGAACAAGCCAUUUUGACCUCCAUCCUGGCUCAUCUCCUCUGUGUUCUCAUAGCAUCAUAUUAUAGAAUGGAUCACAAACCCAAACUCUUCACUACAAAUGGAGUCAGUUCCAGAAUCCAAAGCCAGCAUUCUUCUCCUGAUUAUGACAUGCACCAAAGAGGCAUCCCCUGAGCUGGAUGUUUAAAUCAGAGCCCACAGCUGAAGUGAGCACCAAGAUGUACUGAGCAAGUGUGGACUCUUACUGAUCCAAGUGGCAGCAGCAGCUUCAAGGGUGAACUGUUGCUCAGCAGAGAAAUGGCAGGAAAAAAUAGGACAUUCGCUUCUGGCCUUAGUCCUGUUGGAACACAAAAAGUGGAGUCUGCAAUGCUGUUGGAGGCUCAACAGGUCAAAUACAUCAGUAAUGGGCAUGGUAUGGCUGGGGUCAUACGGAGACAGUCCUUAGAGCACUGAAAAUGUGAUCAUCCUGAAUCCCAUAAGGAUCCUUAUGAGGUUAGAAGGGACAAUGUGGCUCCACUUUGAUGACUGACAGCAGUUGCUUUGGUUCUUCCCCAAACCAUCAUGGACCAGUUGGACUCUGAGAAGAAAAGU
rnacentral:lncRNA from 10 species